UCACUCCCCUGUAUCUCAAAGACCACUCCAAGAACCCUAGCCAGCCGCCCUGAAAUCCCACCACUAUCCGGUGGCGGCGCCUACCCCAAAUGCCACCAAAUUAACACCCUAAAACCCCCCUUCCUCCCCUCAUUCCAAAUAUCCACUUCACUUCCCUCGAAUCACCCUGAAAGUCCUCGAAUCUUGAUUUGAAGAGACAACCCUAAAAUCCCAAGUCCAAAUCAGCGUGCCUAUUUGAAGAUUCAGGAUCGUAAUAGAUGAUAAUCGUGUGUCUUUGCAUAAAAACACACGGUUAGGAUCUAUUCCGGUCAAGAAAUCGAAAGAUCCGUCGAGGGUUUUUUCAAGUCUACAUUUGAUCAGUUUAGGUAUUGUUCUGGUUUCUUUAUUUUCUUUUUAAUGCAUCAUUGCACUUCUUUUUCGAUUUGUUUAGUUGCAUGUGACGUUCUGUUUCCCCCCUUUCUUUGUCUUUCUGUUCUUGACUAGGAAGUUGUUAGGAAUUCUCUUCUUUUGGUUAGUUUAUAUUAGUGUUUGUUUAGUUGACUGGAUUUUCAGUUUUUCUUUGCGAAGUUUUUCUGUUGUCUUUGUUUCCUUCAGUUAAUCAUGAACAUUUUUUGUUAAGUAGCUUAAGAUGGACUGUGGUUAAAUUCUCAUUUCGAUUUAGCAUGAUUGGGCUUAAUUUGAAAUUCAUUACCUGUUGGUCCAUAUCUGAGUGUUGAAAUCACUUAAAUUUUUCUUUUUGUUAGUAUUUAGCUUGAUUCCUGACUCCUUUGGUUUGGGCUUUAGGUCCAUCUGAUAUAUUCACUUGGACCUGAGCCUUUGGGUCAUUGACCCAUGACCCAUUUGAGGUCCAGGGGUAAAUAAUGAAGGAUUAGGGGGUAAUUUGGGGUAAUUGGGCAGGGGAAUCUCUUUGUAACUAACUAGGAAGCUUCCAUGAAGCAGGGUGGGGGGCUGUGUUGAUAGUUUGAUAAUUACCUUAGGGGUAGUUAAGCAAAAAGGAAAAUUAACUAAGGAUUUCAGAGUUAAAAAAAUAAAAUUGGAAAGGGAAUAAUGGGUAAAAACUAAUUCCUGAAUGCUGCCUUAUUCCCUUGCCUAUAAAGGUACCUUUUCUUGCCUUUCAAGGAAGGACUGGAGAGGGGAAAAAAAUCUGAAAAAUACAAACGGCUGAGUGCUUGUACUGUUCGAUUGCAUUUUUUAGUAGGCUUUGAUUUGUUUAGUUUCUGAGAUAAUUUUGAUUCAGUUGAUAUGGAAAUAGUUUGAAUUUGGAUUUUAAAAAGUUUGGUUUGAAGUUGUUGUAGUCCCAGCUCGAUUGGGGUUACUUUUGUUACUGUUUCAUAGCAAAUUCCUGGUUUGAACUGGUUUGUUGAAGCUGUUAUUCUGUUGCUGUUGCUAUUUCUUCACCUCUUUCCUUUUAAUCUCCAGGUACAAAUUCUGAAUCCUUCAUGAUGUAGAUUUCAAUUUGAGGAUGGAAUAAGGCAGUGCUGAUCUUUCAUGAUGUUUAUGUGUUUAGUCAUUUGUUCAUAAUGUCGUUUAGUUGGUCUCUGUUUGAUUAGCCAAGUGUUCAUGUUGUAAUUAAAUUUUGGACUGUUGGAAUGUUGCAUUAAGGGCUUCGAGUAGGUUAAAAAUAUAGUGAGGUUGUUUCAUCCUUGGCUAAAGAUGAGUAAUCGUUAUUUUGGGUGUUAGUCUCAUGUUUGAGUGGGGGUUAAUAAUGCUAAGGGUAAUCAAGAUAUUGCUGAUGUAUUGUCAAAUAGCAUGUGAGUGAUUUUAGUUUAGAAAUAGUAUAGAAGUUUGAAAUGUUUAGUCAAUUGGCUUGAAUGUGGAAAUUCAGAAAUGAGC
rnacentral:lncRNA from 1 species